rnacentral:rRNA from 1 species
UACGUAGGGGGCAAGCGUUGUUCGGAAUUACUGGGCGUAAAGCGUGCGCAGGCGGCCUUUCAAGUCAGUGGUGAAAGCCCGGAGCUCAACUCCGGAACUGCCAUUGAAACUGUUUGGCUUGAGUACGAGAGAGGUGAGUGGAACUCCUGGUGUAGCGGUGGAAUGCGCAGAUAUCAGGAAGAACACCAACGGCGAAGGCAGCUCGCUGGGACGGUACUGACACUAAGGCGCGAAAGCGUGGGGAGCGAACAGG